rnacentral:rRNA from 1 species
UGGCUCAGAUUGAACGCUGGCGGCAGGCUUAACACAUGCAAGUCGAGCGGGGGAAGGUAGCUUGCUACUGGACCUAGCGGCGGACGGGUGAGUAAUGCUUAGGAAUCUGCCUAUUAGUGGGGGACAACAUCUCGAAAGGGAUGCUAAUACCGCAUACGUCCUACGGGAGAAAGCAGGGGAUCUUCGGACCUUGCGCUAAUAGAUGAGCCUAAGUCGGAUUAGCUAGUUGGUGGGGUAAAGGCCUACCAAGGCGACGAUCUGUAGCGGGUCUGAGAGGAUGAUCCGCCACACUGGGACUGAGACACGGCCCAGACUCCUACGGGAGGCAGCAGUGGGGAAUAUUGGACAAUGGGGGGAACCCUGAUCCAGCCAUGCCGCGUGUGUGAAGAAGGCCUUAUGGUUGUAAAGCACUUUAAGCGAGGAGGAGGCUACUUUAGUUAAUACCUAGAGAUAGUGGACGUUACUCGCAGAAUAAGCACCGGCUAACUCUGUGCCAGCAGCCGCGGUAAUACAGAGGGUGCGAGCGUUAAUCGGAUUUACUGGGCGUAAAGCGUGCGUAGGCGGCUUAUUAAGUCGGAUGUGAAAUCCCCGAGCUUAACUUGGGAAUUGCAUUCGAUACUGGUGAGCUAGAGUAUGGGAGAGGAUGGUAGAAUUCCAGGUGUAGCGGUGAAAUGCGUAGAGAUCUGGAGGAAUACCGAUGGCGAAGGCAGCCAUCUGGCCUAAUACUGACGCUGAGGUACGAAAGCAUGGGGAGCAAACAGGAUUAGAUACCCUGGUAGUCCAUGCCGUAAACGAUGUCUACUAGCCGUUGGGGCCUUUGAGGCUUUAGUGGCGCAGCUAACGCGAUAAGUAGACCGCCUGGGGAGUACGGUCGCAAGACUAAAACUCAAAUGAAUUGACGGGGGCCCGCACAGCGGUGGAG